UUUCUGAUAGUUCAGUGGGUAGAGCUUGAGACUCUUAACCUCAGGGUCAUGGGUUUGAGGCCCAUGUUGGACAA